GGACCGGUGAGUAACGCGCGGGAGAUCUACCUUCGAGGACGGGGAUAGUCGUUAGAAAAGCGGGUAAACCGAAUAAUGUUACUCGACUGUGGUCGAGUAAAGAAAGGGGCUUUCGGCCCCGCCUUAAGAUGAGCCCGCGUCCCAUUAGCUAGUUGGUGAGGUAAGAGCCCACCAAGGCGAUGAUGGGUAGCCGGCCUGAGAGGGUGAACGGCCACAUUGGGACUGAGAUACGGCCCAAACUCCUACGGGAGGCAGCAGCUAAGAAAUAUUCCGCAAUGGACGAAAGUCUGACGGAGCGACGCCGCGUGGAUUGAACGAAGCCGAAAGGUUGUAAAAUCCUUUUGCGGAUGAAGAAUAAGCGUGGGAGGGAAUGCCCAUGUGAUGACGUUAGUCCGUGAAUAAGCCCCGGCUAAUUACGUGCCAGCAGCCGCGGUAACACGUAAGGGGCGAGCGUUGUUCGGAAUUAUUGGGCGUAAAGGGCGCGUAGGCGGUAUUGCAAGUCUGGCGUGAAAUACCGGAGCUUAACUCCGGUACUGCGUUGGAAACUGUGAGACUAGAGUUAUGGAGGGGGAGUUGGAAUUCCUGGUGUAGGGGUGAAAUCUGUAGAUAUCAGGAAGAACACCGGUGGCGAAGGCGAACUUCCAGCCAAUAACUGACGCUGAGGCGCGAAAGUGCGGGGAGCAAACAGGAUUAGAUACCCUGGUAGUCCGCACUAUAAACGAUGUGCACUAGGUGUUGGGCCGAGCGGUUCAGUGCCGAAGCGAACGUGAUAAGUGCACCGCCUGGG
rnacentral:rRNA from 1 species